rnacentral:rRNA from 1 species
UGCAUGGUUGUCGUCAGCUCGUGCCGUGAGAUGUUGGGUUAAGUCCCGCAACGAGCGCAACCCUACGUUUAGUUGCUAACAGGUGAAGCUGAGCACUCUAGACGAACUGCCCGUUGACAAAACGGAGGAAGGUGGGAUGACGUCAAAUCAUCAUGCCCCUUAUGUUCUGGGCUACACACGUGCUACAAGUGGCCGGUACAGACGGAGGCGAAGCCGCGAGGCGGAGCAAAUCCGAAAAAGCCGGUCUCAGCUCGGAUUGCAGGCUGCAAUUCGCCUGCAUGAAGUCGGAAUCGCUAGUAAUCGCAGGUCAGCAUACUGCGGUGAAUACGUUCCCGGGCCUU